ensembl:snRNA U2 U2 spliceosomal RNA
AUCGCUUCUCGGCCUUUUGGCUAAGAUCAAGUGUAGUAACAUGCAGCUCUUAUGCAUUCACUGUGCCCUUCGUAGUAAGCAUUCUUGCUUCUGAUAUGAGCUCCCUCUCUCACUUCUUUCAGAUCUGUCAGUUUCUUCAAUUAUUUCAUACACAUUGAUUUAACACAUAUUUCUAAAUCAAAGGUGAUUGUGCACAUUCUGGCAUAUACAUAUUUAUCUAAGCAGACUGCCAGAAGAUUUU